rnacentral:rRNA from 1 species
ACGCACGCUGGCGGCGUGCUUCACCCCUGCCAGUCGCACGGUAAGGCUCCAGCUUGCUGGGGUACACGAGUGGCGAACGGGUGAGUAACACGUGGGUGACCUGCCCUGCACUUCGGGAUAAGCCUGGGAAACUGGGUCUAAUACCGGAUAGGACCAUGGUGUGGAUACUGUGGUGGAAAGUUUUUUCGGUGUGGGAUGGGCCCGCGGCCUAUCAGCUUGUUGGUGGGGUAAUGGCCUACCAAGGCGGCGACGGGUAGCCGGCCUGAGAGGGUGGACGGCCACAUUGGGACUGAGACACGGCCCAGACUCCUACGGGAGGCAGCAGUGGGGAAUAUUGCACAAUGGGCGGAAGCCUGAUGCAGCGACGCCGCGUGGGGGAUGACGGCCUUCGGGUUGUAAACUCCUUUCACCAUCGACGAAGGGUUUCUGACGGUAGAUGGAGAAGAAGCACCGGCUAACUACGUG